ACUUUUCAUGAUGCGAAACCUUUCGAUAAACUACACACGUAGAAAGAUGUGUAUCAGGACCUCUGGACGCGGGUUCAAAUCCCGCCGUCUCCAUAU
rnacentral:tmRNA from 1 species